GUCAUGUUUUUUUUUUUUUUGCAUUUUGGCCCGAUCACUACGAGUCGAAACGCCGUUUUUUUUUGGGUGCAAACGUUUGACUGGGAACUGUUUGGGAACCCGAGAAAAACCAAAGCCACGAGCACCAAAACCAGCACUGCCCCGCACACUGCAAUGCCGAAGCGACGGUCCUGCGGCCCUGUUACAGUCACAGUGUCACAGUAACCACAAAAAGAUUGCCCCAAAGAAGAUGCAUUGUAAAUGGACUCAGCAAACGUAAGCGCAGCGAUACAGAUUUUUAUCAUCGAACUGCAAUGAAAAGAAAACAUUUAUUUUGAAUUGGAUUCCAGAUUAUUUUUCUCUAAAUCAUGGAGAACCCGGGAACUGUACACUAAUUUAUAGUUUGUCACAAAUAUAUCUUUAUCUAUCUGGGUGUUUUACUUUAAAAUGUAGUUUGUGAUCAUUUGCACUUCUUUCCUGAAAAAAUGGCGAAUCCUCAUUACUAUAACGAAUCCGUGUAGAGUUAUAUAACGGAUAUAUAAAUGUGAUUAAAUAAAAU